GAAAGCCUGUCUCAGUUCGGAUUGGAGUCUGCAACCCGACUCCAUGAAGCUGGAUUCGCUAGUAAUCGCGCAUCAGCCACGGCGCGGUGAAUACGUUCCCGGGCCUUGUACACACCGCCCGUCAAGCCAUGGAAGCCGGGGGCGCCUGAAGUCCGGGACCGCGAGGACCGGCCUAGGGCGAAACUGGUAACUGGGGCUAAGUCGUAACAAGGUAGC
rnacentral:rRNA from 1 species